rnacentral:rRNA from 1 species
GAUGAACGCUGGCGGCGUGCCUAAUACAUGCCAGUCGAGCGAACAGACGAGGAGCUUGCUCCUCUGACGUUAGCGGCGGACGGGUGAGUAACACGCGGAUAACCUACCUAUAAGACUGGGAUAACUUCGGGAAACCGGAGCUAAUACCGGAUAACAUGUUGAACCGCAUGGUUCAACAGUGAAAGACGGUCUUGCUGUCACUUAUAGAUGGAUCCGCGCCGCAUUAGCUAGUUGGUAAGGUAACGGCUUACCAAGGCAACGAUGCGUAGCCGACCUGAGAGGGUGAUCGGCCACACUGGAACUGAGACACGGUCCAGACUCCUACGGGAGGCAGCAGUAGGGAAUCUUCCGCAAUGGGCGAAAGCCUGACGGAGCAACGCCGCGUGAGUGAAGAAGGUCUUCGGAUCGUAAAACUCUGUUAUUAGGGAAGAACAAAUGUGUAAGUAACUAUGCACGUCUUGACGGUACCUAAUCAGAAAGCCACGGCUAACUACGUG